AGGGUUUGAUUAUGGCUCAGGAUGAACGCUGGCGGCGUGCUUAACACAUGCAAGUCGAACGAAGCACUUUAUUUGAUUUCUUCGGAAUGAAGAUUUUGUGACUGAGUGGCGGACGGGUGAGUAACGCGUGGGUAACCUGCCUCAUACAGGGGGAUAACAGUUGGAAACGACUGCUAAUACCGCAUAAGCGCACAGGGUCGCAUGACCUGGUGUGAAAAACUCCGGUGGUAUGAGAUGGACCCGCGUCUGAUUAGCCAGUUGGUGGGGUAACGGCCUACCAAAGCGACGAUCAGUAGCCGACCUGAGAGGGUGACCGGCCACAUUGGGACUGAGACACGGCCCAA
rnacentral:rRNA from 1 species